CCAACUGUCCUGCCCCAGGACUUUCCUGCACCAAUCUCCACUGUAGCAUUCCAGGGGCACACUGUCCAAGGACACACUCUCUCCUCACCCCACGUGACCAGUUCAGCCCUCUUGAGCACGUCACUCGGCAGGACAGUUCCAGAGGAAGAUCCCUCAAGCCGGGGGUCAGAGGUGUGGAGAAACUCCGUGGGAACAAGAUACACAGGCACCCAGGAUUCGGCCACCAGGUGUGUGGGCCUGUGUUCCUGUGAAGGGCGAGUGGCCGUCUCUGCCACAAAAAGGCCUACAGCCCAGAGAAAGCACACUCUAACCUGGCUGAGAGUUGUACGCCCUGGGACAUUGGAGCUAACAUCAGAAUACAGUCGGUCUCCCUUUUCCGAGAACAGCCUAUCAUUAUGGAAAGAUCUACAACCUUGAGGCUGAAACAAUCCAGGCCUGGAGGCGCCUGCCCUUUGUAACCACCAGUCCCAAUUGCCUGUAAUCUGGCCCCAGGGCACUGCCAGGUUCCUGCCCUCUGCCCCCUCCAGCCCCUAUUGCUUGUAACCUGUAAUGAUUAUUCUGUGCCUACCUUCCCACGCCUGUGAUUCUCACUUUUCCACGUAACCCUUGUCCUUUUACUCAAUAUAAGCAGUUGGCUUAUGGGGAGAGGCUGAGCAGAUUUCUGUGGAUAAACGGUCGGCGUUAUUAGAAUAA